UGAUAAGUUAAAAUUUAUCUUCAAGGACUUUUACUACCUCGUGGUAGCUGCCUGUGAAAAUGCCAAUCUCCACUUGUAUUUCAACUUUAAUUCAACUUUGUCCUCUGUGGCUGGCUUUAUCUGGAAAGGGAAUGGUUCAUCUUGUCUUUGCACUCCACCUACCAUAGCACAUUUAUGAUGAUUAAUCAUUUAAGCUGCUGUGGUCCAAAGCACUGACUUUGGUUUUGCUUAAUCUGAGAUCCACUCCUUCAGGAAAAAACAGACUGGUGACUGUAUCUACUGGAAAUGACACCUUAGCAAUGAUGUUCUCCAACCUUGUUGGAGGGGACCUUUACAAGUAUUGUUAACUAAAUUUGUGUUGCUAAACCUAAGGACAUUGACUCAUGGAUUCAUGUUUCUCAUUUAAAGAAGGCACUGUCUCCUUCCUGGAUGUCACAACAAGUCUACAGACCUGAAAGCAAAAUUAAUCAGACAAAGGCCAGGAUAAUGAAGCAAUGAAAUCUGUUGUAAACAGUUUUCCCAAGAUUCUGGACCACAUGGACCAUCUAAUGCAGGAGUCUCUAGCCUCCAGGAUCUAAUGCCUGAUGAUCUGAGGUGGAGCUGAUGUAAUAAUAAUAAUAGAAAUAAAGUGCACAAGUGUAAUGCACUUGAAUAAUCACGAAACUGGUCCCUGGUGCUAAAAAGGUUGAGAACUGCUGAAUGUCAUACAAUUAAUAAGUCAUAUGAAAAAACAAAUAAUUGCUAUGAAUGACCUAAUACCAGGUCUUGGAGAAAUACUAAAAGGAAUAAUGAUAGCUAGACAUCUGGAGAUGACUGACCACUCCAAUAAGAUUCUUCUUAAUAAAGUUUUUUGAACUUUU